ACAGAUACCUGAACAGAUCAUCUAGACUUUAGUGAACAUUUACAUCCAUCAUCACAGAUGGUGUAUAUUUGUACAUUCUUGCAUUUUGCCAGCAUGCAAGAGUUGCAUGAAAAUGACACGUUGUGUGUAGCUACAUAAAAGCUGUACCCUGUAUUUGCACUAGGUGUCAUUCUGAACAAUUGCAUUUUAACCUUUACAUUUCUAUAUAUAUUUAUUUAAAGAAAGCAAAUAUAAAAAAACAAAACAAUACAGAAAAGGAAUGUAAUAAAAACAAUUUAAACAGAACAAAUAAAUAUAAGGGUGAAUUAAUGCAGUAAGCAUGCAGUUUUUUUUAUAUAUAUAUAUUAUGUUGUGCUUUAAACUGCAUUUUGGCAGUAGACUAAUGUACAUAUUAACAAAUGAAAUACACUUUCUUUUUUCAUUAU